AGUGAGCCCGAGCGCGCGGGUGGGCGUGUUUGCGCACCGGCUACAGCCGCAGCGAAGCUUGAUGGCGGCCGUCUGAGGGGCUGAAGCUGGGUUUUGCUGAAUUGCUGAGGCUGACCUGGAAUGUGUGAUCCUCCUGCCAUAGUCUCCCGAGUUGCUGGGAUUAUAGUUAUGUACCACCUCUCCUAGCAACAACCAGGUUUUUAAAUUUUCAAGCAGUUGUGGACCAAUCGAAAUACAACAGAAAUGGACUGCCAGAGAAGAUAAUAAACAUGAUGUUUCUUUUUAAAUUCUGUAGACAAAAAAUUAUGGUCAAAUGCUAUAAAAGAUUCCUAAGGUAUA